GAUGAACGCUGGCGGCGUGCCUAAUACAUGCAAGUCGAGCGAACAGAUGAGGAGCUUGCUCCUCUGACGUUAGCGGCGGACGGGUGAGUAACACGUGGAUAACCUACCUAUAAGACUGGGAUAACUUCGGGAAACCGGAGCUAAUACCGGAUAAUAUAUUGAACCGCAUGGUUCAAUGGUGAAAGACGGUUUUGCUGUCACUUAUAGAUGGAUCCGCGCCGCAUUAGCUAGUUGGUAAGGUAACGGCUUACCAAGGCAACGAUGCGUAGCCGACCUGAGAGGGUGAUCGGCCACACUGGAACUGAGACACGGUCCAGACUCCUACGGGAGGCAGCAGUAGGGAAUCUUCCGCAAUGGGCGAAGGCCUGACGGAGCAACGCCGCGUGAGUGAUGAAGGUCUUCGGAUCGUAAAACUCUGUUAUUAGGGAAGAACAAAUGUGUAAGUAACUAUGCACGUCUUGACGGUACCUAAUCAGAAAGCCACGGCUAACUACGUG
rnacentral:rRNA from 1 species